rnacentral:piRNA from 1 species
UAGUCCACUAUGCCAACAUGGUACCCGG